GCGUGAGUGAUGAAGGCCUUAGGGUUGUAAAGCUCUUUCGGCGGGGACGAUGAUGACGGUACCCGCAGAAGAAGCCCCGGCUAACUUCGUGCCAGCAGCCGCGGUAAUACGAAGGGGGCUAGCGUUGUUCGGAAUUACUGGGCGUAAAGCGCACGUAGGCGGCUCGUUAAAUUAGAAGUGAAAGCCCUGGGCUCAACCCGGGAAUUGCUUUUAAGACUGGCGAGCUUGAAUCCAGAAGAGGGUAGCGGAAUUCCCAGUGUAGAGGUGAAAUUCGU
rnacentral:rRNA from 1 species